rnacentral:rRNA from 1 species
AAUAGAUACCCCGGUAGUCCACGCCGUAAACGAUGAGUGCUAAGUGUUAGAGGGUUUCCGCCCUUUAGUGCUGCAGCUAACGCAUUAAGCACUCCGCCUGGGGGAGUACGGCCGCAAGGCUGAAGCUCAAAGGAAUUGACGGGGGCCCGCACAAGCGGUGGAGCAUGUGGUUUAAUUCGAAGCAACGCGAAGAACCUUACCAGGUCUUGACAUCCUCUGACCUCCCUGGAGACAGGGCUUUCCCCCUUCGGGGGACAGAGUGACAGGUGGUGCAUGGUUGUCGUCAGCUCGUGUCGUGAGAUGUUGGGUUAAGUCCCGCAACGAGCGCAACCCUUGACCUUAGUUGCCAGCAUUGAGUUGGGCACUCUAAGGUGACUGCUGGUGACAAACCGGAGGAAGGUGGGGAUGACGUCAAAUCAUCAUGCCCCUUAUGACCUGGGCUACACACGCGCUACAAUGGAUGGUACAAAGGGCUGCGAGACCGCGAGGUUAAGCCAAUCCCAGAAAACCAUUCCCAGUUCGGAUUGCAGG